AGUAUGUGCAAUAUUAGUUGGGUAAAGGAGCAGCGCUGUCAUUGCGUCCUCGAGCCACUUUGGGCGGAAGAGCCUCCGCUAGAGGGAGCUCCCUCUUAAUCUUCAAGGCAUUCACCGCUGGCGAUACGUCUUCAGCAGAGGUGACAACAUUCACACUUUAAAUCCCACCACAUGCGGAUCUGCCAAUCUACUUACUGCGGAUGUAGCCAUGUAUACUGUUGGGUGCGCAGAGGCGGUUAAUAAAUGUGCACCGUUGAUUUCAAUUGCCGCGCCUGGAGAUGGAAUAUAAUUGGAGACCCCUGGAUUGCAAGUCCAGUGUGAUAACUAUUACUCUACGGCAGAAUCCAGAAUAGUGCAUUAGCAGGUGCAAUUCCCCUAACACAAGCACAAAGAAGAGAGGGUUUAAUACAAUUACAAAAUAUUUAUAUGUCACAAAACGGUGCGUGUUUUGCAUCGUCGCUUCACAUUUCAUUUAUUCUCUAAAUAAUUUUUGGAACGGGUGAUGACUACGAAACAUUAAUCCCAAAAGAGAUGUCAACACUUCAUCUCUUGAGAAGUCUAGGGAAUCGUGAAUGGCUUCACACUUGUCAUGGGUACUGCUAAGACUUGUAAGUUCCAUUUCAGUUACCCGUUUGCUUUGAACCAAGUUGCAUACACGUCGACAUUCUCAAUAACUAUACUUCAGAAACUGACGGCUGUGAAAUGAGAAAAAUCACCCUUCCCCAAUCCGUACUUUACUGCUAACAAAGUGUACGGUACAGCCCAAUUGCAAUUUGGGGAGUUAGCUAUUUUCUUCAUGGUAUUUGAAAGCUCGCCAUCCGCGUAAGUGGCAAAAAAUGAAUGUCACUCUACAGGUAAAAUGGUCAAGGAAGUUUACUGUUCCAGCAACACAACACACAGACUCAAAGCAAGCUCUCUUGUCAACUCAGCCAUUUUCCCACAUUGCCCCGCCCAUUUUAUAUCCUUCUCCCCAUCCCUUCUGCAACCUUCCAGAAGGUCCUCCUCAGUCAUCGGAUUCUCCUUACCAUCAACCCUAUCCCUUGGUCUCUUUCUUUGCCUCUAACUGUCCCCUCUCCUUCGUUUGGGGAAAAGCCAGCCUCUGGCUGAAUGAUUGCAUCGCUCGUUGCUAUACAGGGGUGUCGGCCACCAGCCCCCCUAAAACCUGAGAGGCAAUCUGCAAGGUGGUGGAUUAGUUCUCUUUGUUCUUCCGUUGGCGCGCCAGCUUUGCCACGUAUGGCUAAAUGUGUAUAAUAACUGAGGACGAUGACAUUGCAAUGGAAAAAAUAGGUUUUGUACCUUGGUAAAAACUUGUUCCCCCCCCUCCCCCCCCAGUAAAUGCCGCUGUUCUCACGUCGGGCUUCUGGAGUUUGGCUGGUGGCCUUACUCCGGAGAGUCUGGGGGAGGGGGCGGGCAAGGGUUUGGCUAGUGGGGUCGGCGAGUGGGGGUGGACGCGUUGGGACAAAGGCGAAAGGAUUGCAAUUUCCGUUGGUGUAGCAUUGGGCAAUCGGUUAGCCUCUAGCUGAAGUCACCACUUCACUGUUACUCCGCGUUUCGCUGUCACCCUGGGUCUCUGGAUCACAGUCACAAGGGUGUUCCCCCUCGCUUGGCUGCCACACAGACGUUAGUCGUGACCACUGGCCACCAUCCAGUCGAGUGACGUCUCCAGCACAAGCCCACUUGUCUUCGUGAAUGAAUGGAAUGCAACAUGAAGAUGAAAGUGCUGGUGGCUGAGAAGGAGGACUCGCCAUCUUAUCGAUGGGGCUCCCACGCGAUCCAUCACGUUGGGAUGCACACGCUGUUCAAUCAGACUCGUGAGAGUAUGCAACGUUUCACGUUGUGCAGGAGCGCAAGAUAGAAGAAUCCAAAUGCAUUACAUUACAAACGGACAUUUAGGCAUAAUAGGCCAUGGUCGAUCCACUGCUGGAUAAAGGCCUUGCCGAAUUGUCACCAUCACUUGCGAUCCUGCGAUUUAGUAAUCCACUUAAUGCCUGCACACGAGCUGAUUGCAUCACUACAUCUCUUAUGGAAAUACCCUCGAAUGCAUUACGUAUGUUUUGUUUUUCAUAUUCGUGAAUUGUUUGAGAAAUGUAUAACCGCAUGGACUGGAUGAAAAUGUUAAUAUUUCUGUUUGAAUUAAUUUCAUAUGCAAAGUACUGUACACUGAAAUAUUCCUUAAUUGUCCAUACACACUGUUGGGGAAAGUGCUAUAGUUCAUAACAUUAAGUGUUGCAUGAAACAGUGGUGUGGCUAUCAUUUGUUUGCACACUACACAAGGUACUAUUUUUUUACGGUAGGUUUCGCACAGUGGUAACAAUUGUGUCUCACAGCAUGAAUCACCUGGGUUCGAUUCCCGACUCGGGAAUCUUUCUGUAUGGAGUUUGUGUGUUCUUCCUCUGUUCGUAAUGGGUUUCUGCCAGGUUAUCUGGUUUCCUCCCAUCGCUAAAAAAAAUAUGUAACUGGUAUUGGCCAAACAUUUCCUGCAAAAUACUCAAUUGGGAUUAUACAGCAACAUUGCCGCCGCCCCCACCCUACUGAAAAAAUCUGGCAGGCCCCUCCUGAAUAGACUUAGUGACGCUUUUCUGGGUAAACAAAACAAGCAAAAUGUAUUUUUUUAUUUAAAGCUUUCGUGACUGCAGCAAUUCAUAU